rnacentral:lncRNA from 1 species
AAGCAUGUUCAUGAUUAAAUCUGUAUGCUGGCUUAUUUGAGUGACUGCUCUCUGAGUGCGGUUUCCUCAGUCCUAGUUCUUCCUCUUCUUCUUCUUUUUUUUUUUUUUUUUUUUUUUUUUUUUUUUUUCUUUUCUUUUUUCUUCCCUUUCCUUCCUUUCUUUUUGGUUUAGAGAAGCCCUUUCAAUAUUUCCUUUAACCUGGGUUUUGUGUUGCUGUAUUCUUUAAGUUUUUGUUUGUUGGGAAAAAUUUUUAUUUCCCCUUCUAUUUUAAAUGAUAUUCUUGCUGGAUAGAGUAUUCUAGGUUGCAUAUUUUUUCCUUUGAGCACUUUAAAUAUCUCUUGCCAUUCCCUCCUGGCCUGUAGUGUUUCUGUAGAGAAAUCAGCUGAUAUUCUUAUGGGGGUUCCCUUGUAGGUAACAUUCUGUUUUUCUCUUGCUGCCUUUAGGAUCCUCUCUUUAUCACUAACUUUUGCCAUUUUUAUUAUGAUGUGUCUUGGUGUGGGUCUGUUUGGGUUCAGUUUGUUUGGGGCCCUCUGUGCUUCUUGUAUCUUGAAUCCAGUAUCCUUUAGAUUUGGGAAGUUUCCAGCGAUAAUUUCUUCAAAUAUAUUUUCCAUUCCCUUAUCUUUUUCUACUCCUUCUGGAAUUCCUAUUAUGCGUAGAUUGGCCCGCUUUAUAUUAUCCCAUAGGUCUCUUAUAUUGCUUUCCAGUUUUUUGAUUCGGUUUUCUGUCUGUUGACCAGAUUGAGUGAUUUCCAUUAUUCUAUCUUCCAUAUCACUGAUUCGUUCUUCUGCAUUAUUCAUUCUGGUUUUUACUGCCCCUAGUUCAGUUUGCAUCUCUGCAAAUGAAUGUUCUAGUUUUUCUUGGCUCCUCCUUAUAUUUUCUAGUUCCUUUCUGAGGGUAUCUGCAUUACUGUUCAUAUCUUCUCUUAAUUCCUUCAGUAUUUUCACUAUUUCUCUUUUGAACUCCAGGUCUGUCUGACUGCAGAGAUCUGUUUCAUUGUUGACUGUUUUAGGUGAGUUCUCCUGUUGGUUUGACUGGGGGUGGUUUCUCAGCUUCUUCAUCUUGCUUGUUGUUUUCUUUCUCCUGAGGGAGUUGUACUCUCCGUUAUCGGGCAGUGUUUGCCUUGUCACUGCCGUGGAAUAUUUCCUGAGGGCUGGCGUUGUUGGUCAAUCUUUUUUGAGGCAGUGUGGCUUUUCUGGAGUGUUGAUGGGGCUAACAGUGUUUCUUUGAAGCAAAGGAGGACUUCCUGAGGGCAGACAGGACUGGGAGGUCCACACCACGAUGGUAGCAGAUUUCACUUGGUCAUGCAGAGCUUGCUCUGGUGUUUUUAGGCUGUGGGGUUCUUGCAGGGGGUUGGCGGUGUUGGGCAGCUGCUCCUCAGGAGUGCAGCACCCCCUGGGGGCUGGAGCAGCUAUCUGGGUCACUGAGAACCUAAGAGGCUCUUCCCUAGGGCAGCCCAACUCAGAAGGACAGCCUGAGAAUGUAGGCGGAUCUUUUCACAGUCUGGCCGAGCUUGUUGCAGCUUUUCUGGGCUGCAGGGGCUCUUCCAGGGGGCUGGUGGUGCUGAGCAGUUAUUUCACGGGAGUGGGGCACCCCCUGGGGGCUUGGGCGGGUAGCAGGGCCGUUGGAGACCCAAGAGGCUCCUCCCCAGGGCAGCCCGACUCAGAAAAACCGUCUGAGAUCUUUUCCCGACUCGGCCAGGCUUGUUGCAGCUUUUCUGGGCUGCAGGGGGUCCUGCCUGGAGCUGGCAGUCCUAUGCAGCUGGUCCACUAGGGCACCCCCUGGGGGCUUGGGCGGGUAGCAGGGCCGCUGGAAACCCAAGAGGCUCCUCCCCGGGGCAGCCCGACUCAGAAAAACCAUCCGAGAAUCAGGCUAGGCUUGUUCUAGCUUUUCUGGGCUGCAGGCCUUUUCUAGGGGGCUGGUGGUGUUUGGUGCUGCUCUGCGGAAGUGUAGCCCCUCCAAAGGGCAAGCAGGCCUGUGCAGGGACAGCCCCUGCGGUGGUAGGCUUCAGGCAAUUGUUGAGGCCAGCCCUCCCGGAUGGCAGGCAGCCCCAGGUUCAGCGAGAGCAUAGGGGGUGGCGGGGGUGGGGGAAGGGGAUGCACUGGGAAGCACAGCUUUCUGCUAGCUAGCGGGCCUGUAAGCUUGCUGUGGCGUGGGGGGUAUUCUAUGGGGACCCACCCCUUCUUCUCUCCCCUCCCCAGCACGGGCGCAGACCAGGCUCUUCUCCCAGGUUCCCUCUGAGGCGGCUUUCCACUUCCCCGCCCCUAGAGUAUUGCUCCCUUCCUCUGCGACAGCUUUGUUUUCUAGUCUCCCAGGCAGUCUCUGCCCCGUCAAAUGGUUUAGAGACCUCCCAAGCAGUUUCCGCUCUUCCCCGCCCCCCUAGCCCGGGGACUAAUCUCUGGAGCCGAGGUCUCGGUGCCCAGCCCCCACCCAGGCGUCCCCCGGCCCUUUCUUGGGGACUAACCUUCGGAGGCGAGGUCUCGGUGCCCAGCCCCCACCCAGGCGUCUCAAUUUUUGGUGACUGUGCCCGUAGUUCAGAUGGUCCGUUCGGUUCUUGAUCGGAUUUUCCGUACUCCAACUUACUGCUACACUCUUCUCUGCAUCUGAAGAUUCCUCCGGUUCGUUUGAUCUUUCCCCCUUGUAGGUGACCUUCCAGGGUGCGGGAUCCCUUUCUCCUCUGCAGUUCCCUUUCGGGAGUGCCCGUCCCGCUCGGAUUCACCUUCUCUCACUCUCCUCUUUUCUCCCCGUUCUGCCCAGUAAUGUCACGAACUUCUUGCCGUUAUUGGAGUUUAGGUUCCUCUGCCAGCGAUUGGUUGCUGUUCUGUGCGAGUCAUUUAUUCUGUAGAUGUGCUUUUUUUGUUGUGUUUGUGGGAGAGGGCAAGCGUGUCCCCCUACUCCUCUGCCAUCUUGUCCUC